GAGUCCCACGGGAUGCGCUGCAUGGGCACGGAGCGGCCCCUCACAGGGAGCACCCAGCGGGUGCCUGCGGGUCCGCACACGGCACAGCCACCCCCGGCACGGGCUCUCCUUGAGGCGGCGAAGAUCUUGUGUAAGAGAAACGUGUGCGUCAGGAGACCUGACAAAACACAGCACCUCCACCGCCAGCGAGACAAAAACCAGCCAACACGGAAGAUGCGUGAACCGAAGCCCACCGUAUUUCGGCGGGGGCACAAAUUAAGCCGUCCCCAGACGAAAGGCAGGUACGCUGCAACCGCUCUCCGCCCUGCCAGGCGGCAGCCGGCCCGCACCGAGCCCCGACCCCCCCCGGCCCUCCGCCGCUCGCUGCGGGGCACGGCCGGCACCGGGUCCUGAGGGAGCGGAGCCCACCGCUUCCCUCCCGCAGCCCCCGGAAGAGGCGGGGAGCCCUCCUCCCCAGCCAGCCUUCAGGUGAAGGCCCCGGGCUCCGAGCAGCCGCCGGCCUCACCUCCUUCAGCUGCUCCAUCUCGGCGCGGAUGGUCUCAUACUCCAGCUCCAGCUCCUCGUACUGCUGCUUCAGCUGCUGCUUCUCCUCCAACACGGCCAGCCCGUACUCCGCCGCCUGGAUCUUCUCGCGGGUGGUCUCGCCCAGCUCCUGGAAGAGCCGCUUGAUCUCGCUCCGCAGCCACUCGGGCUCCGACUCCAUCACCAGCCGGGAGUACUCCUCCUCCUCCAUGCCCAGCGACAUGUCGGCGGCGGGGGCACCGCAGCCGGCGGGCGGAAAGGCGAACGCGCGGCCCGUCCCCCGCUCCUAGCAGCGCCGCGGCCCGCGGUCGGCCACGGCCCCCCCUCCGCCGGCAGAGCCCGCUCGGGCGGCCAUCCACGGGCGCAGCGCUGCGCUGCGGAGCGCCCCUCGCACCGCGCCGCCGCCGCGAAACUCGCCCUGAGCGCCGACCGCAGUGAAAUCAUUCAAAGGGAACGGCCGGCCCGGCGCCGCGCGGCGCGCUGGGGGCUGUAGUCCGCACGCGCCGCCGCCCCGCGGGGAGCGCCGCCCGCAGGACUACGUCCCCCACAGUGCACCGCGGCGGCACCGCCCGCGGGGAGGGGCGGUGGAGGCGGCGGGGCAGAGCGGAGAGGAGCAGAGCGGCCCUCUGCCGGGCUCGGUGCGUAUGGAAUGGAGCGAGCGCCGGGGCUGAAGUCAGCGACGGGAAACCGAGCGACAAAAACAGAAGGUCUCGGCGGCGUGCGGUACAGGAAGGCGCCCAGAGCUCAGGAGCAGCCGCGCUCAGCGGGUCUCGCAGAGCGGAGCGCUUCACGGAACCGCUGCCAGAGAGAGAACCCUGCGCGGAGCCGCCCCCGGGGCUGCAGCGCCGGCAGCGGGCGUGGGGGAGGGCAGAGCCGGGCCUGGGGCUUCGGGCACGCUUCCAUGUCUGACGCCGUUUUGUCAGACCGCCCCUCGGCGCCGUCUGCCACACGGCAGCGCGUCCGGAACGUUGGUGGGAAGAUUCAGCCUCUGCUGCAGUCCCACCAACGUCCACCUCUGAUAUCGUGGGCCAACGUCAUAGAAUAAGAGGCGUUACUUUCAGAGCAGCCCUCGCAUUUUAGACUUCUAUCAAAGAUCAGUAGUUAAUGGUUGCUUUGCAGUUGCAGCAACACUCGUGCUACAAAAGACUAAACGCAGCCAUUAGCAGCCCAGCCCACCAGCAGCAGUACCACAGAUGAAACCUAAUCACUACAAGCACAAGAGUGGCAGAAAAUUCACCACCACACGUAUGUAUGUCCCUGGUGCCUGGCUGCUCGCUUGCAAGCACUUGCGAGAUGGGUGGAGGUCAGCAGGCUUCAAAAGCAGUUGAAAACAAAAAGACAGUUCCUUCUUAAAGGAGAUCCAAUAGCAGGCAGUGCUGGGACACGAUCGCGGACACCAUGGUGUGGUUCCAGCUUGCCAGAAUGAAGGUACAGCGGGCAGCACUCAGCAUCGAAAGCAUGCAAGGGUUUCACAUCUGCAGAGCAGUUGGUCCAUCAAGGAGUUCUCUAUCCACCAACAGGAGAAAAAAGCACCAUGCUCCCCAGCAUUAGAAAGAGCUUGGCCAGUGUGGCAAGGGAAGUGAUUCCACCCCUCUGCUUUGCCCCAGUGAGGCCAUGUCUGGAGUACUGGGUCCAGUUCUGGGCUCCCCAGGCCAAGAAAGACAGGGAACUGAUGAGAGAGUCCAACGGAGGGCCACAGAGAUGAUGUGGGGCCUGGAGCAUCUCCCGUAUGAGGAAAGGCUGAGAGAGCUGGGGCAGUUCAGCCCAGAGAAGAGAAGGCUGAAGGGGGAAUCUUAUCAAUGCAUAUAAUUAUGUAGAGAGCAGGAGUGAAGUGGAUGGGGCCAGAUUCUUUUUGGUGGUGCCCAAUUCUUUGUGGUGGUGCCCAGCAACAGGAGAAGGGGCAAUGGGCACAAACACAGGAAGCUCUAUACAAACACAAGGAAGAACUUCUCUUGAAGAAUAACAGCACUGGCACAAGGCUGCCCAGAGAAGUUGUACAGUCUCCUUCUCUGAAUGUACUCAAAACCUGCCUGGAUGGUUACCUGUGCAACCUACUGUAGGGAACUGCUGGAGCGGGGGGUUGGACUCAGUGACCUCCAGAGAUCUCUUCCAACCCCUGCAAUUCUGUGAUCACUCUGAGAAGAGCACAUCUGAGGGACAAGAUGCUCAUGCAGCACAAGACUACUUGACAGAAGUAGUGGGAAGUAUUGUGUCAAGUUCAGCUGGCACAAAUAGAUGUGAGGCAGUAACACCUGGGCAACUGCUUGAAAAAGGAUUUGCCAAACUGCUAGGAAAAAGCCAUCGGCUGUUGCUGCAGGUUAUACCACUGCACAAAUGGUAGGCAAAGACAGUAGUAGAGUAAGCAGACACAGUAACUGGGAUCCUCAUUCCUCAGCCAUGGGCAGAACUAAUUUCAAAAGUGUGCUGAAGGCAGAACUGAGCCAAACACCUCUCUUAGUGGGACCACUGUACAUGGGAACAGCUCCAUCACGUCAGUGUGAAUGGGCCCCACUUUAUACCCAGGUGAGGAGCUGCCUGCUUCACCUGGCUGCCCUGCUGCUUCACCCCUUCAGCACAGUUCAGCUUCUUCCAGAGUCAAAAAUAAUUGGUAGUGAAUUGGCAAGCAAAUGCCAAACACAAUAACAACAAUUAUAUGCUUGAGCACUCCACAAGGUCUAGCACACAAAGUAUCACCUUUGUUCAUAGCCACAGGGUUUUUUCCAUGUGCUUUCAACUUCUGUCUGUGCUCAUCAUGCUCUGUCCUGGUACACGUGAGCCCUUAUCCCUUUAAUGAUCUGCUCCAUGGCUGAAUUUUGCUUCUGAGCCACAUGAAUGCCUCAUCUAUUUCUCAUCAUGGCCUUGGCAGCACCUGGAGCUCCUGGUGCCCCAUGUGCAGGGAUGUAUUUAGCCCCAGAGCACUGAUGCUACAUGCAAACGGUUUCCUGGAUCUAAGCAGCAGUUUGAUGUUCUCAGCCCAUAGCACGUGUGUGAAAUUCCUUCACUUGUUUAUCUUCAAAAUCCCUUGGGAAAGGUUUUGUUUGUUUGUUUUUAAUAGCAGCUAAGUAUCUAGUUGGCCUUCACAGCCCCAUUCUGUGUGACACUGUUGACACGCUCUCUUGUGUCAUCUCCUGUCUUCGCAGCAGCCCCCAUGGCAGCACUGUCCCCACAGUGGGCAGGCUGGUGGGCACUCCACUGCCUCCAGGGUCUGUCUCACCUCGCCCCUCUGCUUUCCAUCUUGCACAGAAACCCGAGGACCUGAGACUGCCUUCUUCUUCUUCUUUUUUUUUUUUUUUUUAAGGAAUGUGCUGUGUUGGCAAAUUCUGGUAUUACACCCCAAAGGGAUCCAUUAACAUCCAGGUAGUUACUUCAUAAUAAGCUUUGCAGAUUUGGAUGCAAAGAGGUGCCUCUGACAGGUGUCGUCAGUGGGAUAAGGUGUGUCUGAUGAUGAGAAAAAGUCAGCAGGCAGAGAGGCAGAGUGUCACUGAGGUUCUCUUCAAGUUGGUAACAUUUCCUCAGAGUUACUUUUAACUCCCCUAUCUGGGUGUCCCCAGGAGUUAAGGUUCUGUAGCCCACACACUGGGAAGCUAAAAAAAAUUGGAGAAGUAAAUUAACAAAAUCCCCUUCUUCCCGAUCAAACCAUUUUUCCCAAGUGAGAAAAAUAGAAGCAUUGUCUCUUGCAUUCUCCUGCUCCCCGUUUUUAAUUAUUAGGAUGUCUUCUCAAAUCUGUAGCAUUUUAUCAUUUUCUUUUGUCUUCCCCUAAUCGGUAGCAUUGAUAAUCUCACAUGUUCACUAAUGAUUAGUCCAUAUUUAUAAUAAACACUGAGUUUUCUUCUGCCUCAUAUGUUCUGAGCCCUCACUGUUCUCAGGCUUUACCCUGUAAAUCAGGACUCAAACAAGCCCUAGCUUUUUGUCCUCUCCAGAAGCUGAAAUUUGUUUGUAACAACUCACUCUUAGGGCAUGGGGCUUCAGUUCACAUCCUGAACACUGCUGGGCUUACAAUUAAAUGGUGAGAUCUAGCCAGUUUCUGAGAUUAAUAGAGAUAAUAGUUCAAACAACUUCACCUGGUAAUUCAUAGAAUCACAGAAUUGGUCAGGUUGGAAAAGGCCUUCAAGAUCAUCAAGUCCAACUGCAACCUAACCACACUACCCUAACAACCCUUCCCUAAACCAUGUUGCUGAGCACCACAUCCAAACGGUUUUUAAACACAUCCAGGGAUGGUGACUCAGCCACCUCCCUGGGGAGCCUAUUCCAGUGCUUAACCACCCUGUCUGUAAAGAAGUUCUUCCUAAUAUCCAACCUAAACCUCCCCUGGUGCAACUUGAGGCCAUUUCCCCUCGUCCUGUCACCUGUCACCAGUGAGAAGUAAACCCAAGAUUUGUUAGUAGGUUUCAUGCUUUGUUAUUGUUCUAAACUGCUCAAGAUGCAAAGGAAAAUGUCCGUCAGUAACUGCAAAUAUCGCUAUUUCAAAAGCAUUUCUGAACAGCCUAGGAAACAAGAGCGGCUUGUCAAAGCUGAGGCUCUCGUGAUCAUUCAAGGUAAUGAUGUAGCAUAACAAAAAUUUGAAAUGACUGAAUGAGCACAGCCCGGCCUGUGCCCAUAGCCUCCUCUGGGUGCAGCCAGAGGUCACAGCCUAUUUCAUUGUCAGUUCACUGUCUCUAAACUGCAUCUGUGCAAAGACACUGUUGAAGGAAGGCUGUGCAGGAGGCAGGGAAGAGUGGGGAUAACCUCUCAGGUUGUUUCCUGAGGUGUGUGAUGAUCACAGACUAUCACACGAGGCUGGUCACAAUUCAGCCUGCCCACGAGCUUCGUGUAUGGACAAGUAACAAAUUACCAUUGUCUCCUAUUUCUUCCCAUUUCCUAUUUAAGAAGAAAAUAAAAUGACUUUAGUGAAAAAGAAAAUAGUUCGGGACAGGAUCAAUGUUUGUGUGAGGUACAGUAAUGACCUUUCUUAACCAAAAGACAUUUCAAAAUAAGAACCUGAAAGUGACUGAAAGCUUCAGAUAUUCACUGGUAGCUGAUAAGCUGGGGAGAAGCAGGUGAGCUGCUGGCAGAAAGCUGCCAGAGGGAAUGUCUGCGUGCAAGGAACAAGCAGAGGAAUUACAGAUGCUUAUCGCAAAAUGGAAUUCUUAGGAUGUCUCAGCAUCAGGAGAAAAAAAUGUGACUUAGCUUUCAACGUUUGACAGAAUGCCUUGGCUGGGUGUGGGGAGCACAGGACACACACAGCCCGCUCCCUGACCCAAGUGCUGAGAUGCCCAUGCCUAUCAGUGCUGGCCUUCUGCCAGGAGCUGCAGAGGAGGGACGGCUAGGGGGUCCAAGUAGCAACAUGUCUGGCACACCAUCUGCCAGGUGUAGCAGGGACCAGAUGCUCAAGUUACUUCUUUAUUCUGCCAUGAUGGAACAAGCCAGGGAGGAAGGGAGAUUUUUUCCCAAAACGUUUUCCUUUUUCCUCCUUUACUGCAAGCCCGAACCACCCCUCACAACCACCUACAGCUUCUUAUGACCAUGAGGUGCACCUGUUACUUUUCAGCAUUUUUCUUCUUUGCUCUCAUUCAAUGAGAAAGCCUCUUCCAAUGCACAAAGAAGUGCUUAGGUAAACCGGAGCCAAAGACACUCCAUGACCACAGAUUUUGUCUUUUGGUCCACAUGGAGGUGCUGGGAAGCAGUGUGCCUCCAGGGCUGGCUGGGGGCUCAUGGCCUGGCAGCUGUACAGGGUGUGUGGAGCUGUUGUUAGGCCAGAACUGCAGGCCUGCCUGCCAAGGCAGCAGUCUGACAUGGCUUUCCCAGGCCUGUAGGUCUGUGCAAAGGGCCAUGUCAGCCCAAACAACCACGCUCUCUCUUCCCAGCUCACCUGUGGGAAAGGACCAUGUUUGUGCUUCACCCCAGUGCCUGUUUGGAGGAAAACAUUCCCUUUUAAACCAUGUCCGUAUGCCUGAUUGACAAGCAGUAAAUGAGCUGCCACUGCUCCAUCUCUUUUGACGAGGUAAACACACCUGCGUUUGGAUUUAAGCCAAACCCAUUUCAUUUUUGAUAAAUCAUCCAGGCACAUGUUUAAACUGAAGCAAAACAAGAAUCCACACAGCAGUGUACCAGUAUAACUACAUCAGCAACAAAGAAAAAAACACUGCAGUGUUAUUUCUCUUUUCCCCUCCAUCUUCAUGUUGUAACUUGAAAGGGUCUCAAGUUCUGGAGGCCACUCACAAAGGAGUAAUACUGUAUGCAGUAUGGACUUGGCUGGUACAGAUUUGAUUUUCUCUGCAUAAGAAAUAUUUCUACUUCUAUCAGUGUGAGAAGAGACAUUCACUUAUUUCUCAUAAGCUCUGGAAGGAGACAAGCACAGCCAGAGCUUGCUUUUGGUUGCAGUCAGAAGCAGCAGGAACUUCAUUGCAGUUAGUUGAAUUACACCAAAUUUAUGUGCCAUGGGUAAAAUCAGUGUGUUGGCUCCAGAGCAGGCACAGUGAUAACACCAAUGGGUCACAGCAGAUUUGGUGCUGCUGAAGAGCACCUAAGCCACCCCAGCCUUGCGCUAGAGCCCUAGCUCUGGUAUAGGCACCUCCUGCUCCAUCAGGAAAAAUUUUCCUGAAGAGCUUAUCUAGAAAAAAGAGCUAUAGGAAGCAUUUUUGCCAUCAAGUGAUUUCUUCACUGCUAGAAUAUCUUCCUGGCAAUGCCAGUUUUCUAACACAGAGCAAGUCGCAGAUUACUGCGCCAGAGCCUAAGGAUUGCAUCAGAUCUGCUUUCAAUUCAAGACAAGGCUCACGUGAAAGUCACUUUCAACUGUUUCUCUCUACUAAGGGAGAACACUUCUGUGCACCUCGGGCCUCAGCCAGAACUUGAUCCACUGUGAAUGACUUCGUGUCAUUCAGUAAGUGACACACACACUUUAAAGCAGAGCACUUUCCCCCUUUUAUCAAAGCUAUACUGUAAGUUACAUCUCCUGCUGAGACAUGUGCCCACUGCACUGCUAGGUAGAUAAGCAAGGUGCAAAAUGACUGCAGUUCCUUCUCUACUCAUUUUGCUUUUUUUCUAAGCACAGCAUUCCUCGAUACCAAAUCUCUAGUUUAGAUAAAGGAAAAAGUCUGUGGAGUUAAUUGCAUUAAUUAAAAACCUCAUCGACUAAAUGGUUCACAGAAAGUCUGAGCUCAUUGCCGUUUUCUUCUAAGUAUGUUAUAUAAGCAUCAAUUACAAGAACAUCAAGUUUAAAUAAAAAUCAGAAGCAAAGUUAUUUCAUUUUGGACAGAGGAAACAGCUUCUUGGUAGAGGCAGGCAGAGAUCACAGCAUGCAUGGAAAUAGCUGUGGCACAGGCAGCUCACUGCCAGCAUCACAAAGGAGGCAGGGUGUGAUCCAGCACUAAAUUAAUCAGUGCUUCCAGCACAGAGCUAAGAGUUAUGGAACAGGCAGGUAGGUGUUUCGGUUACUUUUUUAAUGUUGCUUCCACUUAUGUAUUUUAGGAAUUCACUGACAUCUGCUAUAUAUAUUUUUUCCAUCAAUUUCUAAUAGCUGGAAUUCCACUAGAGCUGUUUUAAAUAUAACUAACAUGUUUUAUCCAAGCAAUAUUUAUUAUUAUGGACAAUUUCUGCACCUGCUAAUUGAGGCAGGGUUCAAGUUUUUGGAAAUAUUAUUAUGUGGAUUGAAUAUUGUAAUAAUAGGCAGCUAUUUGAUACAUAUGGUUAGAAAUAAAUAGAUUUGUACCUUAGUUUUUGUGGGGUUUUUUAUGUCUAUAUUGCUGUGCUCCAGCCUUCAGAUAAUGCUGCCUUUCUGGAACUGACCAAAACCACCUGCUAUCAAAAGGAAAAAAAAAACAAUCAGAUAAAACCUCAAAUUAAAAAAAAAAAAAAAAAAAAGGCAACCCCAGGCAAGUAAAAAACUUCAGACAUUUAAAAAUUGAUAAAGAUGACAGCAAAGAGUUGAUAUGGGCAGCACUGAAACGCCUCAGUGCUCGGUUCAGAGCCCCCGUGGGUGGGUUCAGGAAAACAAGGAUGGAGAGCACCAAGUUAGUUGCACCUUGUUAAAUGCAACCACAUAAACAACUAGACUUUAAUGGGAUACUAUCUGUAGCCAUCACAGAUUUAUACAUCUGAAUUACAAAGUGGCUUCUGUGUGUCUGCAGAACAGAGGCAGGGGUAUGUUCCUGCCCAGUGUGCACACAGGCUUCCUAGAAGGGGGCUGGGUCUGCCUUUACUCAAGUUAGUUGUCCAUGUGAAUACAGGGCUGUUCUGCCCUCACUGGAGAUGUUCCUGGCUGACACCAAGAGUCACUUCCCUUUUACAGAAAAAUACUGCUUUUAUAAAGCAAGCAUGAACCUAUAUUUACACUGAUGGAAAAUAAUAAUAAGGAUGUACUUUUAUGCACCUCUAUGUACAUCCUUAUGUCCAGAAGUCAAAUUCUUUGUCACUGUAAGCAUAAUUAAUCCCACAGAAAGAUAAAAGCAGAUAUGCCACAGACUUUCAUAGGAGUCUUUGUGGGAGCAGACAGCUGCAUUCAUAGCAGCAGCCCCCAGGCUGGCCACUGCUACAGGACUGUCCCCAUUUCUUCUGGCAGAUGAUUAGGGCUCCCCAUACGAUGCUGAGCUGUCAGUAAUACAUACAAAGAGAAAACACUGACAGCACAACCUCCAUUCAUUUGUAGUGAAAGAUGGUUUCCUGGGCAAGCUGUCUUGCAAAGACCAUGAGUGUGAGAAGGAAAGGUGAAUAGCAAGGAAAUAAAACAGGAAAACAAGAAACCAAUCAGAGUGGGAGAGUUGGGUCCAAACAUUCUGCUGCACAAUUCAUUUGUACCCCCUUCCUUUUGCAUCUCCCCCUCCCAGUGGGGCUGCCGUUCCUUCACUUACACGAAACGGAGUCAUCAGGGGAGCCACCAGCAUCAGAUAAAGCAGGCACAGCUACACAGGAUUAAAAUGGAGCAUGUUUAGGUCAAAAGACAACUUAAAAAGGGAAUUGGACUUAUGCUUUCUCCCUCUGUCAGGAAAGUCUGUGGGCUGGCCAAAGUAUAAAGUCACAUCUUUAAUCAUGUCUAUCUGGAAGAAGUCUUAUAUUUGGAGGGAGCUUGAAGCCAGAGACAGCCUAAUGGGAGACCACAACCACAUAACUGAAACCAGCUAUCACCCUGUUACGAAACAAACUCACAGUAUUAUACAGGUAAUGUCACUCUAUGUAGCACAAAUGAAAUAAAUGCUAAUGGUCCCAUACUUGAACAGAAUAGCAGCUGUUCUUAUGGGUGAUAAUGAAUUCAAAUGGUAAUCACAGCCCACCAUUACAAUGAAGCCUGCUAGCGAAGUGUUACUGUAAAUAAAAGUCCACAUCACAUCUGAUGCCUGGAAUGUAACGAGCAUUCUCCUGACUCCAUUUAAGCCUACUGACACAUAAAUAUCCCAUGUGUGUUCCAAAUCUGCCAAUAAUUAUACUUGAAAAAAGAUACACCCUAUUAGUUCAGGGAAACUAGCUGCACUGUGGUCUUGAGGUCAUUGCAGCCAUUAGCUUUUAAGAGCACAUGAUUUAUCGGUAUCUCAUCGAUAUAUUUUGCCCUUGCACCUUCUGUUUCUUACCAGUCUCCCUGAGCUCUCCUUGCUUUCCCAGCCUCCCCUGCUCAGCUCAGCACAAGGGGAUCAGGCUGCAGUAGCCACCAGGAAAGUGCAUCUUUAUCUCAGGCACAGCACAGUGCCACUCAGCACUUCCACAUCCAUCAGCCUUGUCUUUAUCUGUUAGCAACAAAUUCUGAACUCCUGCUCCUGUAGACCUUUGUAAGAUGAGCAAGUAAUCGCACACUGCUUCCCAAAAACACUCUUAUGGAAAUAAGAGUAAUCCAACUGUUUUCAUUGGCCAGUUAAUUAUGUGCUGCUCUGUAACACUGGUGAAAUGGCAAUACAUUCUAGAGUAUAAUUCAAUACAAGGGAAAUAAACAUGCAGAAAAAUAAAUAAGCUAAUGGGAGUUAUCAAAUCAGGCUUUAAACACGUCUUUAGGAGCAAUGAGAAGUCAGAAAUUAGGCCCAAGUUCAGACCAAAGAAAGAAGGGUUUUGGCCAGCAAUAUCUGUCUCAGACUCCAGCACUGACUGAGAAAACCACGGGCCAACUUCUGCAAACAGUCCUUCAUUUGUAUCACUUCAAAGAUGCUAUUCACAUGAGUAAAAUUCCUUACCUAAGUUGUCUGCAGGAUCAUGCUUCGUGAUAGGAGCCAGUGUGGCUGGAGAAGUGUUUUAUAUUGCUUUACUAUUUUUAGUCCAGUAAAGAAGGGGAUACUCUCUCCUAGUGCAACAUAACCAGAUAAAAGCACAUUAACUUGACUUCAUCAUGGCAUAUAGCUUACAACUAAUGGAGCCUAAAGGAAAUUGUAUAACCUGGUGUACAUUCUUCUAUUACAUAGCACAGGCAAAUGAAGUGUCACUGCUGGACUGACUUUUUAUUCUUUGGGUGCUGACUCUGCGCUCCUCAGAGCACAUCCUGUAUGUUUUUUAUAUGGUUCAUAUGUGUAGGAGUUAUGCUUCUCCAAGAGCAUAAAAGAAUCCCUCAAGCCAUGUAGGAAAUUUGUUUUUGAGAGUGGCCAGUGAGUAGAUUUUGUCUUUUGUGGAAAAUGUGAGUCAGACCCAUGUAAAAAAGCACAGAAAACAAACAAUGUGCUAAAAGGAAUGCUCGACGUUUGUGUAGCAGCCUUCAGAUAAGGUUCACAAAACUACACAAUGGUUAUCUGAAUAUUUGAUGUAGAUAACUACUAUUUAUAUUGCUUGAUAUCUCUAUGGUAGCCAUGUAAGAACUAUAAAGUAUAACACCUUUCACAUAGAAGUAUACAUUAAUUUCUGAAGCUGGCUCUGUGUGCUGAGUGCUUUAUGUAUUGAGUUUCCACCCUAGUGCUGGAUGUCCAGUCAAUGGCAGCCACCAAUCUAGAGUAAAUCCAGCAGAUAUAGACACAUGUACCUGCAAUGCACUGGGUGUGUGGAAUGCACUUGGAGGUUGGCAGGUAGUCACAACUCGCUCAGCUAGAGGAGGUCCAAAAGUCACAAUUUCCUCUUCUAACCUCUACAAUACACUUUUUUGUUUCAGAAAUGAAAAAGAAAAAUUGUUUUGUUGAACCUCUCACACCAUAAAUCCUCUGUUCUCUGUGCUAGUUGGAUGACUGUUCUCUGGAGAAGAACAAGUACCUCCUUUCCCUUCUGUACAGCGUAGCACACUCCCUGGGGAAAAAGCUUUUGCAGCCACCACGUAUUUGGUCUGGCCUAAACAACCAAACAGUAACUCAAGGUGUUGCCCACCAACAGCUCACUUGUUUGGACACAACCUGGUUAUCUGAGGGGAAACCUGGCCAAAGCCACAGCCCCGCUGUGAUUUGUGCUGGGUGCCUGGGGCCUGUACAGAAAGAAAGAUUUCUAAAGGAGAGGAAGAAAUCAGACCUCAUGCAGUACCUUUGAAAAUCUCUCCCUAAAGGCAUAACUCAAAAAGCCAUUAAUGGGGCAGAGAGUUUUCAUUAUUCGAAGCAUGUUUAUUGCAUCGCCUUCCCCUGAGGAAAAUAGCACCUGCUGUGAAAUGGAAGGCAGUUAAUGGAUUGCAGCAGCAGGAGCUAAAUAUAUUUCCCUCUCUUCCGUAAGUACUGAAGAAAGAAGAAAAUGGCCAGAACAUGCAUUGCCCACAGAGGCGAAGUGCUGCUCCAAUUCCUUGGACAAUGCAUCAGUUUUACAGCUUCUAACAGAGCUUUGCUUGUCGCCAAGUGCAGAUGUUGUGCCCGGGGAGAAUUAUUCCUCCCUAAGUAAUGCUGGCCAAAAAAAAACCACCAAACUGCUGCAUACAAAGAUUGGUGCAGGGGUCAAGGACUUUGAUAGGCAGAGGCUCCUGGGGGCACAGGCUGCCCCUCCAGCCUAUCCCACAGGUACAAGGGGCAGGGCAGGCUGGAAGGGUAUACCUGCAGAGACCAUGCCCAGCAUCCCACUGGAAGCAAGGCUGCUUCCAGCACUAGGUCAGGUGUUCCAUAGCUCAGUCCACCUACACCAUGCCUCUCUAGGUAGUAUCUCCCACAGUAGCCUCUUUUUUGUUGCCAUAGCAUGAUAUCAGAGCAUCUGCAUCCCUGUUAAAAGCACCCUCAGACAGUAUGUUUCAUGUCUUCCCCUUGCACUGUGUAGAAAGCUGCCAGCCCACCAUGCCGGUCUGGCCCCUAAGGUAAGCAAAUCCCACAGCUGUGCACAGCAAACUCUACCCAUAAAAAAAAAGGCACUCCAGGCUGGAGGCUCACAACUAGCUUUGCUUCAACAUCUCUUGCUAACCAACUCCAUGGCCUAUUGACCCUUAGGUCAAUAGAAAAGAGCAAACAGUAGAAAUUUUCUUGAGCCUGGCUCUCUCUCACUGCUCCCUCCUCAAAGCCUCAGAGAUGUUGUACAGUUCACUCACCCUUCCCUCUGCUCUGCUUCUAUGUGAAGGAGGAAAAGACAUGGUGUCUGCCCUUCUGUUAUCAAGUUCUCAGGUCUGCGGGUUAUUCUUAUUCUUGUUUAUUUGUUUGUUUUCCUUGGUAUUCUAUCAGUAUUUUUCUUAUCUCUUCCUCAGGUCUGAAGAAACAAAGUUUUGGUAGCUUAGCUGAGAUUAGCCAGCACGAAUAGCUAAGUCCUUAGUCCUUCAGGCUCUUCCCAGGCCCUUGCACUACCAGAUUUUUGCCUUCUCUUUUGUUUCUGUACAGUCUCCCUUGAGAAAUGGCAAACAGUGUGAAUAGUAUCAGGCAGGUAAAAUGAGGCCCAUACAAUUUCCAUAUCUUGCUUUCCACAACCUCUUUCCAGCAGAAGAAAGCCAGGAUAUCCCCUAACGGAGCUGCACAGCUGUGGUUAUUAUCCUGACACUGCAACAUAAGCAAAGCAAACAAAAGUAAUGCUUAAGUGACAAUGCAAGAAAGAAACUGGAGACUGGAUUCCUCACCAAAGCCACUGGAAGGUAAGGCAAAGCCAGGAGGAUUCCUACUUUUAGAACAUUCAUAGAAUUUUUUAACAAACCAGUACAUGCAGGACCUGUAAUUAGAUAUCCCAAAUUCCUGUGCUGACUUAGAAGAUAAUAACCGAUUUGCAGGGAGAGAUGCUUGCAUGUAUUGCCUUUGGAAAAGAUCUGAGACUGAAUCAUGAGCAUCUUCAUCCUUGAAGCCAAUGUUGCUCUGAAGGAAACACUGAAGGGUGAAGUAGAAGAAGUCAUUUCACAGCUUUGAUUAAAAAUAUUAAACUCACACCUUUUAUAUGUAGCACUAGGAUAAAAUACAAAGUUGGGAACAUAAACUGUGUCUGUGACAUAGCCCUAACGCUUCCUGUGCGCCCUUAUUCUCCACGCACAUAAGACAUUGGUAGGGUGGAUUGAAGAGUGUUUGUGUGCUUCUGCAAAGAAACUGAUAGACCGACAGCUCCAAGCUCCCCGCAGGAUCUGUGCUAGCUAUGGACUGCUAGGUCUGCACAUCACCAGUACAGACUUUUCUGUGCCUGCUUGGACAGACUGAAACUUCCACCUUUCUCCUAAUGAUAAAAUAAAGAGUGAAAGAAUAGAAAUAUUUUCAAUGGUUUUUCCUCCCAGUUCUGCAGCAGGCUCUAGAUAAAGUGCGAUUUCCCAAUGAGAACUGGGGUGAGAAAUAAGAAAGUCAAUUAAAAGACAGAUUUCUGUGGUACCUUGGAGAAAUGUUAAUGAGACUUUGGUACCUCGGCCUCCUCUUCCCCUGGCUUCAAGACACUGCACUCUACUAAAUUAUUUACAGCUUAUGUAAACUAAGAAUGAGUGGAGCCAGAGUGUUUUGAGAAGCAGAUGCUGAGGUUGCCCUUUCCUCCUUCUCCACUCCUGGCAGAUAUAUUAUGUUCACAGCGAGAUGAUCCUGUGCAGCUAUACUUGUGGGGUUGAAUUUCUCUCCUGUUCAGCUUUCUCCUGCCAUUCCCUCACCCUGUUUGCCUUUCCUUCCUCUUAUGAGAACACCAUCCAGUAAACCUUGAGCAGGCCCUGCCUCACCUUGAGAUUAAAUGCUAGCAGCUGACCACAGCCUCCUUUACUAGAGCUUUGUCAUCAAAGCUCUUUGUUCGAUUCCUGCCCUCAUUCUUUCUCCUGCAUGUUUACAUUCCUCAUGUUCCCACUUCAAGCGCUUCACCGCAUGACCCCUGCUUUGUACCAUACCUAGUAUACAUACAUUUCUCAGAGCACACCUUUUUUUUACAGGUUUUCAGUCUCCCUCUCACUGGUUCUGCAGGAGCAGUUGUGCAAGCAGUGUUACACACCCCAGCAUGCCUUCCUGCUGGAUCACCACAGCACCAUAAAAUUUAUAAAUCAAUCCUCAGUGCUUCAUCUGGGAAGCACAGGAGAACUGAGCCAUAAGCAGUCAGACCUUUCACACUGUGCAUAUGAAUGUAUGAAUGAGGUCAUGUUUUCAAGGCUUCUACACUCCUGAGAGGUGGUUGCCCCU